ensembl:lncRNA
CUCAGAGGGACACAUGAAAGGGGGGGGGCUCCGAGGGACACAUGAAAGGGGAGGGGCUCAGUGGGAUACAUGAAAGGGGAGGGGCUCAGAGAGCGACAUGAAAGGGGAGGGGCUCAGCAGGAUACAUGAAAGGGGGAGGGCUCAGUGGGAUACAUGAAAGGGGAGGAACUCAGAGGGACACAUGAUAGGGAAGGGGCUCAGAGGGACACAUGAAAGGGAUAGGGGCUCAGAGGGAUAAAAGAAAGGGGGAGGGCUCAGAGGGAUACAUGAAAGGGGAGGGGCUCAGAGGGACACAUGAAAGGGGAGGGGCUCAGAGACAUGAAAGGGGGAGGGGCCCAGAGAGAGACAUGAAAGGGGGAGGCGCUCAGAGAGACACAUGAAAGGGGGAGGAGCUCAGAGGGGACAUGAAAGGGGAGGAGCUCAGAGGGACACAUGAAAGGGGAGGGGCUCAGGGAGACAUGAAAGGGGGAGGGGCUCAGAGAGACACAUGAAUGGGAGGGGUUCAGAGGGAGACAUGGGUGGCAGGGCUCAGAGGGAUAAAAGAAAAGGGGAGGAGCUCAGCAGGAUACAUGAAAGGGGGAGGGGCUCACAGGGACACAUGAAGAGGAGGGGCUCAUGGAGACAUGAAAGGGGGAGGGUCUCACAGGGAUAAAAGAAAGGGGGAGGGGCUCAGCGGGACACAUGAAAGGGGAGGGGCUCAGAGGGACACAAGAAGGCGGAGGGGCUCAGAGGGACACAUGAAAGGGGAGGGGCUCAAAGGGACACAUGAAAGGGGCGGGGCUCAGAGGGACACAUGAAAGGGGAAGGGCUCAGGGAUUAAAAAAAAGGGGGAGGAGCUCAGCAGGACACAUGAAAGGGGGAGGGGCUCAGAGGGAGACAUGAAAGAGGAGGGGCUCAGAGGGAUACAUGAAGGGGAGGGCCUCAGAGGGAUAAAAGAAAAGGGGAGGGACUCAACGGGAUACAAGAAAGGGGAGGGGCUCAGAUGGAUUCAAGAAAGGGGAGGGGCUCAGAGGGACACAUGAAAGGGGGAGGAGCCUAGCAGAAUACAAGAGAGGGGGAGGGGCUCAGAGGCACACAUGUAGCGGAGGGGCUCAGAGGGAGACAUGAAAGGGGGCAGGGCUCAGAAGGACACAUGAAAGGGGAAGGGCUCAGAGGAAGACAUGAAAGGGGGCGGGGCUCAGAGGGAUAAAAGAAAGGGGGAGGGACUCAACAGGAUACAUGAAAGGGGAGGGGCUCAGAGAGACACAUGAAAGGGGAAGGGCUCAGAGGAAGACAUGAAAGGGGGCGGGGCUCAGAGGGAUAAAAGAAAGGGGGAGGGACUCAACAGGAUACAUGAAAGGGGAGGGACUCAGAGGGACACAAGAAAGGGGAGGGGCUCAGAGAGAUAAAAGAAAGGGGGAGGAGCUCAGCAGGAUACAUGAAAGGGGAGGGGCUCAGAGGGACACAAGAAAGGGGGAGGGACUCAACAGGAUACAUGAAAGGGGAGGGGCUCCGAGGGACAGAAGAAAGGGGAGGGGCUCAGAGGGAUAAAAGAAAGGGGGAGGGGCUCAACAGGAUAUAUGAAAGAGGAGGGGCUCAGAGGGACACAAGAAAGGUGGAGGGGCUCAGCAGGAUACAUGAAAGGGGAGGGGCUCUGAGGGACACAUGAUAGGGAAGGGGCUCAGAGGGACACAUGAAUGGGAUAGGGGCUCAGAGGGAUAAAAGAAAGGGGGAGGGCUCAGAGGGAUACAUGAAAGGGGAGGGGCUCAGAGGGAGAGAUGAAAGGGGAGGGGCUCCAUGGGAUACAUGAAAGGGGGAGGGGCUCAGAGAGAUAUAAGACAGGGGGAGGGGCUCAGAGGGAGAUAUGAAAGGGGAGGGGCUCAGAGGGAUACAUGAAAGGGGAGGGGCUCAGAGGGAGACCAGAAAGGGGGAGGGGCUCAGAGGGAGUCAUUAAAGGGGGAGGGGCUCAGAGGGAUACAUGAAAGGGGAGGAGCUCAGAGGGAGAGAUGAAAGGGGAGGGGCUCAGAGGGACACAUAAAGGGGAGGGGCUCAGAGGGACACAUAAAGGGGAGGGGCUCAGAGGGACACAUAAAGGGGAGGGGCUCAGAGGGACACAUAAAGGGGAGGGGCUCAGAGGGACACAUGAAAGGGGAGGGGCUCAGGGAGACAUGAAAGGGGGAGGGGCUCAGAGGGACACAUGAAAGGGGAGGGGCUCAGAGGGAUACAAGAAAGGGGAGGGGCUCAGAGGGACACAAGAAAGGGGAGGGGCUCAGAGGGAUACAUGAAGGGGAAGGGCUCAGAGGGAGACAUGAAGCGGAGGGGCUCAGAGGGAGACAUGAAGGGGAGGGGCUCAGAGGUACACAUGAAAGGGGGAGGGGCUCAGGGAGACAUGAAAGGGGGAGGGGCUCAGAGAGACACAUGAACGGAGGCGGGGCUCAGAGGGACACAUAAAGGGGAGGGGCUCAGAGGGACACAUAAAGGGGAGGGGCUCAGAGGGACACAUGAAAGGGGAGGGGCUCAGGGAGACAUGAAAGGGGGAGGGGCUCAGAGGGAGACAUGGAGGGCAGGGCUCAGAGGGAUAAAAGAAAAUGGGAGGAGCUCAGCAGGAUACAUGUAAGGGGGAGGGGCUCAGAGGGACACAUGAAGGGGAGGGGCUCAUGGAGACAUGAAAGGGGGCAGGGCUCAGAAGGACACAAGAAAGGGAAGGGGCUCAGAGGGAUACAUGAAGGGGAGGGGCUCAGAGGGAGACAUGAAAGGGGAGGGGCUCAGGGGGAUAAAAGAAAAGGGGAGGGACUCAACAGGAUACAUGAAAGGGGAGGGGCUCAGAGGGAUUCAAGAAAGGGGGAGGGGCUCAGAGGGAUACAUGAAAGGGGAGGGGCUCAGAGGGACACAAGAAAGGGGAGGGGCUCAGAGGGACACAUGAAAGGGGAGGGGCUCCGAGGGACACAUGAAUGGGACGGGCUCAGAGGGAGACAUGGGUGGCAGGGCUCAGAGGGAUAAAAGAAAAGGGGAGGAGCUCAGCAGGAUACAUGAAAGGGGGAGGGGCUCAGAGGGACACAUGAAGAGGAGGGGCUCAUGGAGACAUGAAAGGGGGAGGGUCUCAGGGAUAAAAGAAAGGGGGAGGGGCUCAGCGGGACACAUGAAAGGGGAGGGGCUCAGAGAGAUAAAAGAAAGGGGGAGGGACUCAACAGGAUACAUGAAAGGGGAGGGGCUCAGAGGGAUACAUGAAAGGGGAGGGGCUCAGAGGGAUUCAAGAAAGGGGGAGGGGCUGAGGGAUACAUGAAAGGGGAGGCGCUCAGAGGGAUAUAAGAAAGGGGGAGGGGCUGAGUGGGCUACACGAAAGGGGGAGGGGCUCAGAGGGAUACAUGAAAGGGGAGGGGCUCAGAGGGAUACAAGGAAGGGGAGGGGCUCAGAGGGAUACAAGAAACGGGGAGGGCCUCAGAGGGAUACAAGAAAGGGGGAGGAGGUGAGAGGGAUACAAGAAAGGGGGAGGGGUUCAGAGGGAGACAUGAACGGGGAGGGGCUAAGAGGGACACAUGAAACGGAGGGGCUCAGAGGGAUAAAAGAAAGGGGGAGGGCUCAGCGAGAUACAUGAAAGGGGAGAAGCUCAGAGGGACAGAUGAAAAGGGGAGGGGCUCAGUGGGAUACAUGAAAGGGGGAGGGCUCAGUGGGAUACAUGAAAGGGGAGGAACUCAGAGGGACACAUGAUAGGGAAGGGGCUCAGAGGGACACAUGAAUGGGAUAGGGGCUCAGAGGGAUAAAAGAAAGGGGGAGGGCUCAGAGGGAUACAUGAAAGGGGAGGGGCUCAGAGGGAGAGAUGAAAGGGGCAGGGGCUCAGAGGGACACAAGAAAGGGGAGGGGCUCAAAGGGAUACAGAAUGGGGGAGGAGCUCAGUGGGACACAUGAAAGGGGAGGGGCUCAGAGGGACACAUGAAAGGGGAGGUGCUCCAUGGGAUACAUGAAAGGGGGAGGGGCUCAGAGAGAUAUAAGACAGGGGGAGGGGCUCAGAGGGAGAUAUGAAAGGGGAGGGGCUCAGAGGGAUACAUGAAAGGGGAGGGGCUCAGAGGGAGACCAGAAAGGGGGAGGGGCUCAGAGGGAGUCAUUAAAGGGGGAGGGGCUCAGAGGGAUAUAAGCAAGGGGGAGGGGCUCAACAGGAUACAUGAAAGGGGGAGGGCUCAGUGGGAUACAUGAAAGGGGAGGAGCUCAGAGGGAGAGAUGAAAGGGGCAGGGGCUCAGAGGGACACAAGAAAGGGGAGGGGCUCAGUGGGAUACAUGAAAGGGGAGGGGCUCAGAGGGCGACAUGAAAGGGGAGGGGCUCAGCGGGAUACAAGAAAGGGGGAGGGCUCAGUGGGAUACAUGAAAGGGGAGGAGCUCAGAGGGACACAUGAAAGGGGGAGGGGCUCAGAGGGAUACAUGAAAGGGGAGGGGCUCAGAGGGAGACAUGAAAGGGGGAUGGGCUCAGAGGAAGUCAUUAAAGGGGGAGGGGCUCAGAGGGAUAUAAGCAAGGGGGAGGGGCUCAACAGGAUACAUGAAAGGGGGAGGGACUCAGCAGGACACAUGAAAGGGGGAGGCCUCAGUGGACACAUGGAAAAGUAAGGGGCUCAGUUUUACCCAGGAGCAGGGGAAGAGUUCAGUAGGACACAGAUAGGAGCCCCAGGGAACACAUGGAAGGAAGAGCAUCUAGUGGGACUUAAGAAAAAGUGAGCAGCUCAGUGGCGCUCAUGGACACAGGACAGGCAAGGUGUCCGUGAGUAACCUGAAAGGGGGAGGAGCUCAGUGGGACACAGGGCAGGGGGAGAGGCUCCUCGGGGCACAUUCCGGGGGAGCGGUUCAGUCGGACACAUGUAUGCCGCAGGGCUUGCAUCUAAUGUACGGCUGGGGGAGGGUCUGCUGUGACACACGGACACGCGGUGGAAGAGACCUCUCCUGACACACGAGUGCAGUCUCAGCACAAUACCUAGCACACUCCAGAAAACCUUCGACAGUUCGACAGCCUUUCUGGGAGGGGCUGUAUCAUCAUCUUCGACCUGCGUCAAGUCUGGAGGCUCUGCCCCCUGGUCCAGAAGCUCCCUCUGUCCUGACUUCCACCACCUCCGUUCGACUUUGAGCCUUGCUUCCUGCAGCUGAAGAUGUCACAGAGCAACUUCACAUUUUUUUCACAAACAUUAUGAGCCCGCUGGCACACCCGUUUCACAUUUGGCUUAAGAGACUGUUGUGAGGACUUCUAGGAAAUCAGCAAGGAGUGAUUCUAAUAAUUGCCUGUUCUUGGAAAUCUCCUAAAAUAACUUGGCCCAAUGACGGUGAGGGGUGGGGCAGUCCUCUAAGACAACAUUUCUCCUCCAUUCCAACCCAGGUCUCGAGUUCCAAUUACUCAUAAAAGAAGC